ensembl:ncRNA C40H5.14 ncRNA
UGUCUGUUUGGUAGGGGUCUCUAUGUUUUGUCAUGUUUGUUUGCGAUUUACGUGUGUUGCUGAAGAAAGUGCGAGAGAGCUCUAGCGUCCGUCCGCCUACCGUACGGACGCCGCGGCGGCAACGGGUGCGGUCUUU